ACAGGUACGUGGGCGGGCGGAUCGUGGUGGCUGCGCUUGCGAGGACCCUGAGGUAGAUUGGGUGGUUUCAACAGGAACGCAUCCACUGUCUGAGAGUUUAAACUUGAUUUUGUGAGGGGACGAACAGCGUGACAAUUAAAAGAAGAUCUGGGAAUCAAAAGCUUCCUGAGGCCUUCACCAGAAGCAGAUGCUGGUGCCGUGCUUCUACAGCCUGCAGAACUAAGAGAAGACAUGGAGAAGAGGAGGGAGUAGUUGUGACCGUGGAGGCAGAGAAUGGAGUAAUGUGAUCAUAAAUCAAGGAAUGCUGACAGCCACUAAAGCUGGAGAAGGCCAAGGACAGAUAUUCAAUCCUCCCGUAGAAGUACAGCCCUGCUAAUGCAUUGAUUUUGGACUUCUGGCCUCAGAACUGUCUGGAAAGCAUGGAAAUUUGUAUCUUCAUUCACUUUUGUUUUCAUGGACUCUUUUCAUGUUUGAACUUUUCAUGGUAUGAGCUGUUUUAUAAUCUAUAAUAUGGAAUGUUUCUCAUACGAAUGUUUUUCUUAUUGAAGAAUGCCAUAGAAAUAAGGGUGUGAGGUAUACUUACUUGACAGGAGAAU
rnacentral:lncRNA from 1 species